rnacentral:rRNA from 1 species
GACGAACGCUGGCGGCGUGCCUAACACAUGCAAGUCGAGCGAGGAACUUGCAACUGAUUCCUUCGGGAUGAAGAUGUAGGUUUCCUAGCGGCGGACGGGUGAGUAACGCGUGAGAAACCUGCCUUUCACUAGGGGAUAGCCUCGGGAAACCGGGAUUAAUACCCUAUGACACUUAAGGGUCGCAUGGCCUUUAAGUUAAAGCGCUUUAGCGGUGGAAGAUGGUCUCGCGUCCCAUCAGCUAGUUGGUAAGGUAAAGGCUUACCAAGGCGACGACGGGUAGCCGGUCUGAGAGGAUGGUCGGCCACAUUGGGACUGAGAUACGGCCCAGACUCCUACGGGAGGCAGCAGUGGGGAAUUUUGCGCAAUGGGGGCAACCCUGACGCAGCGACGCCGCGUGGGUGAAGAAGGCCUUCGGGUUGUAAAGCCCUGUCUAGGGGAAGAUAGUGACGGUACCCUGGAGGAAGCCCGGCUAACUACGUGCCAGCAGCCCCGGUAAGGAGUAGGUACA